AUCUUAACUUCAGUUCCUGGCUUGUGGAGACCAGACUUCACGUAGCCCAUGGCUAUGUUCUUCUUUAAGCAGGGACUGAAUCCUCCACUGGUUACCUCCCCAAUCUUUUCCCCGCUGCUGUUCAAGAUCUCAUUGUGACUUCGCGGAGGUGGGCCUGUUGAGAAGAAGCCAACACGUCUUAUAGGUGGGCCUUCCUCGAGUUGCUUUAGGAUCACUUCCGCACCCAAGAAUCCACCUUCAGCUCUUCUUCUCUUACCGAUCGCCCAUGUAAGGCCAGCCUCGACAGGUGUGGUGUGCUGAUCCAUGUCAUUGCCAUACAGACAAAGGCCAGCU
rnacentral:lncRNA from 1 species